GGGACACGUGGUAUCCUGUCUGAAUAUGGGGGGACCAUCCUCCAAGGCUAAAUACUCCUGACUGACCGAUAGUGAACCAGUACCGUGAGGGAAAGGCGAAAAGAACCCCGGCGAGGGGAGUGAAAAAGAACCUGAAACCGUGUACGUACAAGCAGUGGGAGCACGCUUAGGCGUGUGACUGCGUACCUUUUGUAUAAUGGGUCAGCGACUUAUAUUCUGUAGCAAGGUUAACCGAAUAGGGGAGCCGAAGGGAAACCGAGUCUUAACUGGGCGUUAAGUUGCAGGGUAUAGACCCGAAACCCGGUGAUCUAGCCAUGGGCAGGUUGAAGGUUGGGUAACACUAACUGGAGGACCGAACCGACUAAUGUUGAAAAAUUAGCGGAUGACUUGUGGCUGGGGGUGAAAGGCCAAUCAAACCGGGAGAUAGCUGGUUCUCCCCGAAAGCUAUUUAGGUAGCGCCUCGUGAAUUCAUCUCCGGGGGUAGAGCACUGUUUCGGCAAGGGGGUCAUCCCGACUUACCAACCCGAUGCAAACUGCGAAUACCGGAGAAUGUUAUCACGGGAGACACACGGCGGGUGCUAACGUCCGUCGUGAAGAGGGAAACAACCCAGACCGCCAGCUAAGGUCCCAAAGUCAUGGUUAAGUGGGAAACGAUGUGGGAAGGCCCAGACAGCCAGGAUGUUGGCUUAGAAGCAGCCAUCAUUUAAAGAAAGCGUAAUAGCUCACUGGUCGAGUCGGCCUGCGCGGAAGAUGUAACGGGGCUAAACCAUGCACCGAAGCUGCGGCAGCGACACUAUGUGUUGUUGGGUAGGGGAGCGUUCUGUAAGCCUGUGAAGGUGUGCUGUGAGGCAUGCUGGAGGUAUCAGAAGUGCGAAUGCUGACAUAAGUAACGAUAAAGCGGGUGAAAAGCCCGCUCGCCGGAAGACCAAGGGUUCCUGUCCAACGUUAAUCGGGGCAGGGUGAGUCGACCCCUAAGGCGAGGCCGAAAGGCGUAGUCGAUGGGAAACAGGUUAAUAUUCCUGUACUUGGUGUUACUGCGAAGGGGGGACGGAGAAGGCUAUGUUGGCCGGGCGACGGUUGUCCCGGUUUAAGCGUGUAGGCUGGUUUUCCAGGCAAAUCCGGAAAAUCAAGGCUGAGGCGUGAUGACGAGGCACUACGGUGCUGAAGCAACAAAUGCCCUGCUUCCAGGAAAAGCCUCUAAGCAUCAGGUAACAUCAAAUCGUACCCCAAACCGACACAGGUGGUCAGGUAGAGAAUACCAAGGCGCUUGAGAGAACUCGGGUGAAGGAACUAGGCAAAAUGGUGCCGUAACUUCGGGAGAAGGCACGCUGAUAUGUAGGUGAAGUCCCUCGCGGAUGGAGCUGAAAUCAGUCGAAGAUACCAGCUGGCUGCAACUGUUUAUUAAAAACACAGCACUGUGCAAACACGAAAGUGGACGUAUACGGUGUGACGCCUGCCCGGUGCCGGAAGGUU
rnacentral:rRNA from 1 species